rnacentral:rRNA from 1 species
CAUGCAAGUCGAGCGGUAGCACAGAGAGCUUGCUCUCGGGUGACGAGCGGCGGACGGGUGAGUAAUGUCUGGGAAACUGCCUGAUGGAGGGGGAUAACUACUGGAAACGGUAGCUAAUACCGCAUAACGUCGCAAGACCAAAGUGGGGGACCUUCGGGCCUCAUGCCAUCAGAUGUGCCCAGAUGGGAUUAGCUAGUAGGUGGGGUAACGGCUCACCUAGGCGACGAUCCCUAGCUGGUCUGAGAGGAUGACCAGCCACACUGGAACUGAGACACGGUCCAGACUCCUACGGGAGGCAGCAGUGGGGAAUAUUGCACAAUGGGCGCAAGCCUGAUGCAGCCAUGCCGCGUGUGUGAAGAAGGCCUUCGGGUUGUAAAGCACUUUCAGCGGGGAGGAAGGCGNUNAGGUUAAUAACCUUGUCGAUUGACGUUACCCGCAGAAGAAGCACCGGCUAACUCCGUGCCAGCAGCCGCGGUAAUACGGAGGGUGCAAGCGUUAAUCGGAAUUACUGGGCGUAAAGCGCACGCAGGCGGUCUGUCAAGU